UACAGAGGUCUCAAGCGUUGUUCGGAUUCAUUGGGCGUAAAGGGUGUGUAGGUGGCGCCGUAAGUCGGGCGUGAAAUUUCGGAGCUUAACUCCGAAACUGCAUUCGAUACUGCGGUGCUUGAGGACUGGAGAGGAGACUGGAAUUCAUGGUGUAGCAGUGAAAUGCGUAGAGAUCAUGAGGAAGACCAGUGGCGAAGGCGGGUCUCUGGACAGUUCCUGACACUGAGACACGAAGGCCAGGGGAGCAAACAGG
rnacentral:rRNA from 1 species